GAGUAAGAAGCGAUAAUUUGCACUCAGUUUCGACCUGAGCCCUAGAUAACUUAGUUAUCCAUACUCU
rnacentral:tRNA from 1 species